CGAGCUUGCAGGGGCUUGGGGCAGAUCCGGAGGCGGGGGUCGCCGGUGACGACGAGGAAGGCCUGAGCACGGGCGGAUCCAUGGCAUCCGCGGCUCCUCGGCACAAAGGAGACAGGGAGGCGAGGGAGAGAAGAAGGAAGAAAGGAGGGGUUGUGCAGCGACCUAGCGAGGAGCUCGCCGGAGCUGGGCGAAGGCGGACUGGCGCGGGAGACGGAGGGGUCCGGCGCGGCGGCGCGAAGUCCUUGCAGGUGGAGGCAGGCGUCGAAGCAGAGGACGAGAGGAUCCCCGGCCUAAUUGUGGCGUGCAGUCAGCUUCCCCGAUCCAUCCUCCUACCCAUCCGACCCUUACUCGAUGGCCCGCGUGCGACGAGGCCCUACGCGGGGUAAGAAGGGGGAUCACGCGAGGUGGAGCACUCCAGCCCCCUCCUAGCCCUACCACGGUGAGGCCUCCUUUCCCUCUCUCCCUGCCUGAGCCAUAGGCUGGCGGCGCUGAGGUCGAUCUGCUCAUGCACACACGGUUGUUGUGACAUGGUGACAGCCACGCCCCACUUUUUCUUCCAGUUCCUUGUUUUUGUGGUGGAUGCAUCCAUGAUUAUUUGUUUCAACGAUUGAUUUUCAGUUUAGUCAAUCAAACCCAUUCCGAUGCUGCUCUUUUACUUGUACAAAUAAACUAUUGUUCACUAAACUGAGCAGCUAGCUACUGGUGUCUCAAAGAUUAAGCGCAGGUUGGUACUUAUGGGCAGGCCUGCCUCAAGUAGAGGAAGAAGAGGAGGCCUGAAAGAGAGAGGCCGCAAGGUAGAAGCCUUUUGAUUAGGAGGUAGUCCAGCAAGUUGGACGAACUGCUGAUAAAGAGAUAAUUCUAUUCUGAAUUUUUAUCUGAAAAGCAGGAUUGGAUCACGGAUGUAUGUUGGCUAUGUCUCUCACGAAAUUUGUUGAAGCUAAAGAUGAAGAGGAACUCGUGGAAGAGGAAAAGAAAUGACAUGGUAGAAAUUCAUUCACACAUAUCAGUGUCAUAGUGAGAGGAUUGAUCUGCUUGAUUCGCUCCUGAUGGUCGGUGGAUUGUUUCUGGUAGAGCUGAGAGUUCUGUGAAGGUAAGAUUUUGAUCCAGCCUAUUAAGCAGUACCACACAAAUUAUAGGAGAAUCUAUUGUUUGGUCCAACCUAUAAAGGUGCCAUAUAUGCUCAGUUGCUCACAACAGUGCUAAUAUUAACAAGGUGAAUAAACUCAUGCUCUAGCGGAGGAUAUCCUUUAUAUUUUGGGGGUCACUGAUUGUUGAUUUGACAGGUGGAAAGCUCUUGCAUGACUUUAGCUACCUGAAGGUCCGCUUAAACUGUUCAGGUUUUCUUCCCCAGGAGUUUUUACUAGCCACAUGUCAGAUGGUGAUAGUACGUUAUACAACCUAUACAAAAACAUAAGAUGUGUUCCCGGAUAACAUCUUUCCUCCAAAAUAAUUUACAUAUCAUCUAGACUUGGUUAGUUGUAACUUUUGCUUUCUGUUCUUUCCACAAGCUUCUGUAGGUUCAAAUUAUAAUUGUUAAAUUUUGGGACCUUAAGACUUUUUAGUUGAUUGCAUCCUCUAGACCGGGAGGUAUAAUAGCAUCUCCUAAUUGUCUAAUUGAUGAUUCAGAAAGCUCUGGCUCUACUCAUGUAUAUUCAGAUUGUGAAGUACUCCUUCUAUAAAGAAAUAUAGGAGCGUUUAGUUCUAUAAAACAUAUUUAUAUGCAGUUAUCCAACAAAUUUAUGUCCUAAAAUCUUACAACUUCUCUUAAGCUGUAUUUGAUCAUAACCUUGGCUUAAAUGGAAAUUAAUUUCAACCUCAAAUUUGGUGAUUUUUUGAAUGGGCACAACUGUGUCGGUAGAGGUUGACAGUUAUGAAUUUUGUGAUAAUCUUCGAUUAUACUGUUAUAUAUAGCACUUUCCUGUUAUAUGGUUCACAUUCUCUGAGCCAAUUCACAAUGACCAUUCCAAAUUUGGGCCUUGCGUUUUUAAAUUAUUUUGUAACAUUUUGGUUGAUCUUUGAUACUGCUCCUUAAUUUUUUACAUUGACUGGUGUAGAACUAAAUGAGUGUUGCCAUUCAAGGGAAGCCCCAAGCUUUAAAACACUAUAUGAAUGUUGUUAGCUCGGUCCUUCACAAAUAAGUCCCUUGAUGUGUGUCAUCUGUCAUUGCGUAUAACAUCUGGUCUUUCUAUUUUUCAUUGAUUUUUCUUCUCCCGGUGCACUGAAUCUGCAAGGGCGUGUAGACGGCAGGAUGAGCAGCAGCAUACCGGUGGUAAGACAGGGCGUGUUGGCGUACGCGAAGCAGCCAUGCAUGAAUCUUGGCGGCGGAUGCUUGCUGGCCGUAGUAGCAGCAUCAAUUCAAGCUGGGAGGCGGGAAGCUGGAGUAGCCGGAACGAUUGGUCGUCCAUUAGGCAUCAACCCAACUCCACCGUACUCCCUUUUCUUUCCAUAACCAAUUCUUUGGAGCAGACAUGUGGGUACAGUUACAUAGCCUGAAGAUUGUUUGCUUUUUUUGGCUAGUUCAGAUUUAGAUUUCUCAGAUUUUCACUAUUUGAUCAAUCGAUCCAUGUAGAUCUCAUUGACAUGGUUUGUCGAAUGUACCUUUCAGCAUUUACCCUGAUUAGUUAAAUGCCUAGCUGGUGAUAAGAGGAAGAGGAUGAUCAGGAAAGCAUGGAGUUGAGCGAAUCAGUACAGGAAGAAAGGUCGUUCAGGAAUAAAUAGUAGAGGAAGAAAGGGAGGAGCAGCACUGCAGCAGUCAAGGUUGGGCUUGGUGGCCUCGACGCCUAUGACCUCCUCUAUGCCAAGCCUCGCAUCACCCAGUUAUUAUGUUAUCUGCUUCCAUGCAUUUACUGGUGUAUAGAAAUAUGAUUAUCUGAUGUAUGACUUAGCUGAGUUCCCUCUUUAUGUAACAAGGCUCUCUUUUAAAGUUGUUCGCUGUCCUCAUUCCUCGUGAUCUCUGAAUCAGUAUUUAGUUGAUAACUGUGGCAACAAAGGAUCGUUUGCAAACAAGGUUCUCACCCCUUAUAUUUAUUUUGGCAUGGAAAAGCACUGUGAUUAAA